rnacentral:lncRNA from 1 species
GGGAAAGCCAAGCUUGUUCAAAUGCUCCAUCAUCUCGAUCAUGUACAAUACAUGAUCAGUGACAGAGGCACCAUCCCGUAUUUUGGCAUUGAAGAUGGCACAACUAGUCUUGUGCCUCUCCACAUCAUCGGGUGUGCCAAAGGCAUCCUCCAACACUUGAAGCAUGUCCUUUGGUUGAGUCAUCUCAAAUCUAUGAUUGAACUCGUCGCUAAUGGCAGCCAGC